UGGGGAAUAUUGCACAAUGGGGGAAACCCUGAUGCAGCGACGCCGCGUGAACGAAGAAGGUAUUCGUAUCGUAAAGUUCUGUCCUAUGGGAAGAUAAUGACAGUACCAUAGAAGAAAGCUCCGGCUAAAUACGUGCCAGCAGCCGCGGUAAUACGUAUGGAGCGAGCGUUGUCCGGAAUUAUUGGGCGUAAAGGGUACGCAGGCGGUUUAAUAAGUCGAAUGUUAAAGAUCGGGGCUCAACCCCGUAAAGCAUUGGAAACUGAUAAACUUGAGUAGUGGAGAGGAAAGUGUAAUUCCUAGUGUAGUGGUGAAAUACGUAGAUAUUAGGAGGAAUACCAGUAGCGAAGGCGACUUACUGGACACAAACUGACGCUGAGGUACGAAAGCGUGGGGAGCAAACAGG
rnacentral:rRNA from 1 species